rnacentral:rRNA from 1 species
AACGAACGCUGGCGGCAUGCCUAACACAUGCAAGUCGAACGAGACCUUCGGGUCUAGUGGCGCACGGGUGCGUAACGCGUGGGAACCUGCCCUUAGGUUCGGAAUAACUCCCCGAAAGGGGUGCUAAUACCGGAUAAUGUCUUCCGACCAAAGAUUUAUCGCCUUUGGAUGGGCCCGCGUUGUAUUAGCUAGUUGGUAGGGUAAAAGCCUACCAAGGGGACGAUACAUAGCUGGGCUGAGAGGAUGAUCAGCCACACUGGGACUGAGACACGGCCCAGACUCCUACGGGAAGCAGCAGUGGGGAAUAUUGGACAAUGGGCGAAAGCCUGAUCCAGCAAUGCCGCGUGAGUGAUGAAGGCCUUAGGGUUGUAAAGCUCUUUUACCCGGGAUGAUAAUGACAGUACCGGGAGAAUAAGCUCCGGCUAACUCCGUG